GAUGAACGCUGGCUACAGGCUUAACACAUGCAAGUCGAGGGGAAACGACGGGGAAGCUUGCUUCCUUGGGCGUCGACCGGCGCACGGGUGAGUAACGCGUAUCCAACCUGCCUCUGACUGAGGGAUAACCCGUCGAAAGUCGGCCUAAUACCUCAUGGCAUCGUCUGCGGGCAUCCAACGACGAUUAAAGAUUUCAUCGGUCAGGGAUGGGGAUGCGUCUGAUUAGCUUGUUGGCGGGGUAACGGCCCACCAAGGCUACGAUCAGUAGGGGUUCUGAGAGGAAGGUCCCCCACAUUGGAACUGAGACACGGUCCAAACUCCUACGGGAGGCAGCAGUGAGGAAUAUUGGUCAAUGGGCGAGAGCCUGAACCAGCCAAGUAGCGUGCAGGAUGACGGCCCUAUGGGUUGUAAACUGCUUUUAUGCGGGGAUAAAGUGAGGGACGUGUCCUUCAUUGCAGGUACCGCAUGAAUAAGGACCGGCUAAUUCCGUGCCAGCAGCCGCGGUAAUACGGAAGGUCCUGGCGUUAUCCGGAUUUAUUGGGUUUAAAGGGAGCGUAGGCCGUGGAUUAAGCGUGUUGUGAAAUGCAGGUGCUCAACGUCUGCACUGCAGCGCGAACUGGUCCACUUGAGUGUGCGCAACGCAGGCGGAAUUCGUCGUGUAGCGGUGAAAUGCUUAGAUAUGACGAAGAACUCCGAUUGCGAAGGCAGCCUGCGGGAGCACAACUGACGCUGAAGCUCGAAAGUGCGGGUAUCGAACAGG
rnacentral:rRNA from 1 species